rnacentral:rRNA from 1 species
CAAGUCGGACGGGCCGCAAGGCCAGUGGCGCAAGGGUGAGUAAGGCGAAGGUAACCAACCCCGGGGUUGGGCAUAGCCGAGGGAAACUUCGGGUAAUUCCCAGCGACGCGGCCUGCCGGCAUCGGCGGGCCGCCAAAGAUUCAUCGCCCCGGGACGGGCCUUUGUGGUAUUAGCUCGUUGGCGGGGUGACGGCCCACCAAGGCUACGAUGCCUACCGGGCGUGCGAGCGUGGCCCGGCACACUGGGACUGAGACACUGCCCAGACUCCUACGGGAGGCUGCAGUCGAGAAUCUUCGGCAAUGGGCGCAAGCCUGACCGAGCGACGCCGCGUGGAGGACGAAGGCCUUCGGGUUGUAAACUCCCUGUCGAGGGGGAGGAAGGGGCAACCUUGACCGAUCCCUGGAGGAAGCACGGGCUAAGUUCGUGCCAGCAGCCGCGGUAAGACGAACCGUGCGAACGUUAUUCGGAAUCACUGGGCUUAAAGCGCGUGUAGGCGGGCCGCCACGUCGGCUGCUGAAAUCCCCCGGCUCAACCGGGGAACGGGCACCGAUACGAGCGGCCUCGAGGGGGUUAGGGGGGGUCUGGAACUUCCGGUGGAACGGUGAAAUGCGUUGAUAUCGGAAGGAACGCCCGUGGCUAAAGCUAUGCCCUGGACCCUUUCUGACGCUGAGACGCGAAAGCCAGGGGGGCGAACGGGAUUACAUACCCCGGUA